rnacentral:rRNA from 1 species
UGGGGAAUAUUGGACAAUGGGCGCAAGCCUGAUCCAGCCAUGCCGCGUGAGUGAUGAAGGCCCUAGGGUUGUAAAGCUCUUUCACCGGUGAAGAUAAUGACGGUAACCGGAGAAGAAGCCCCGGCUAACUUCGUGCCAGCAGCCGCGGUAAUACGAAGGGGGCUAGCGUUGUUCGGAUUUACUGGGCGUAAAGCGCACGUAGGCGGACUAUUAAGUCAGGGGUGAAAUCCCGGGGCUCAACCCCGGAACUGCCUUUGAUACUGGUAGUCUUGAGUUCGAGAGGGGUGAGUGGAAUUCCGGGUGUAGAGGUGAAAUUCGUAGAUAUUCGGAGGAACACCAGUGGCGAAGGCGGCUCACUGGCUCGAUACUGACGCUGAGGUGCGAAAGCGUGGGGAGCAAACAGG